rnacentral:misc_RNA from 1 species
AAAAGGGGGCAACUAACAGCCAUAAUGGGGCCACUAACUUCAGAAAGUUGAGCAACUAAAGUUGACUAAGUCUAGCUAGAAAAUAGGAAGCACUAAAUUGAAAUAAGUAAAAAACAGUAAAAAAUAAUAAUAAGCUGAAAAAAUGUCAAUUGUCUAAUAGAAUCUAAGUAUAGUGAUAAAUAAAUAGAUAUAACUGUUAAGU